rnacentral:rRNA from 11 species
UCCAAUGCCUAAAACACUUUAAAGCCAUGAGAUCCUUUCUGAUCCUGGAAGCUAAGCAUAGUCAUCUCUGGUUAGUAUUUGGAUGGGAGACUGCCAACAAAUACUAGUUGCUGUAAGCU